GGUGAACCUGNGGAAGGAUCAUUA
rnacentral:rRNA from 1 species